rnacentral:rRNA from 1 species
UACGUAGGGUGCAAGCGUUUGUCCGGAAUUAUUGGGCGUAAAGAGCUCGUAGGCGGUCUGUCGCGUCGGCUGUGAAAACCCGGGGCUCAACCCCGGGCCUGCAGUCGAUACGGGCAGACUAGAGUGCGGUAGGGGAAGACUGGAAUUCCUGGUGUAGCGGUGAAAUGCGCAGAUAUCAGGAGGAACACCGGUGGCGAAGGCGGGUCUCUGGGCCGUAACUGACGCUGAGGAGCGAAAGCGUGGGGAGCGAACAGG